ensembl:lncRNA
AAGGGCCCCAUCAAGCCCCAGGGGCUUGGACUGCAAGGGCCUUGAUGAGGAUGAGCCUUGCUGGGAGAAGACGCAGUGGUCCACCUCGACCCCCGGAGCAGUUUUCAGGUCUCAGUGCUGCCAGAGGUGUCCGCCAGCUCUCCCUUUGGAUUGGAAAAUGCACGGAACCCUGCUUGCUGGGGUCAUGGAAGUGCUUUGGCAGAGUUCUCAAGGGCCAGAGAGGAGAAGACUGCUUACCGAGCCUCUCAUAGAGCAGCAGCUGAGAAAAUGGAGAAAAGACGCUCGGGGCCUUGUUGGAGCUCCCAGCAAAUCAGCGGCAGAUCCAAGAUUGCCCCAGACUCCUGGCCAGCACUCGAAAAACCAGCACAAGACCUUCCUCAGCCUGAAGGACGGAAAGGAACACUGGGUCUGCUGGUGGGAAGACUCGAGAGUGGAUGGCCCCCUGGAGUCCAGUUGCCAAGUGAGCUUAGGACAAGGCCACGGUCUGAGGCUGGGCCUGCUGCUGCUGCUCAUCUCCUCCUGAGCCCCCAACGAGCAGGGUACAGCUCUGAUGCAAGUGACCCCAGGCUCCGCGUCUUUGCAUGGGGUAGCAAGUUUGGACCUAGCAGGACGUGCUUCGAGAGAGAAGUGAUAACGAACUACAGCAACUAUUUUGUGGAAACCCAGAUGGACUCAGGAGUCUCAGACUCAAAUGUGUUUGUGAGUCAACGACGGCCCAUGAAAAUGCAGAUUCUUGGGCCUGGCACCUCCCUCUCCUCGCCCCCAACCCCGGAACUUCUGAUUCAGCAGGUCUGGGGUGGGGCCCAAGAUUCUGUAUUACUAAGAUGCUGCCAAGUGAUGCUGGCCCCAUAUCCAGGCUGAGCAGUUUAGAUCUCUGCUCCUCCAAGUACGGCUCACAGCCUCAGAGCAGCAGCAGCAGCAGCAGCAGCACAGGGGAGC